UACGUAGGGUGCGAGCGUUGUCCGGAAUUACUGGGCGUAAAGGGUGCGCAGGCGGUCGCGUGUGUCAGGUGUGAAAUCUCGGGGCUUAACUCCGAAACUGCGCCUGAAACUACGUGACUAGAGCAUUGGAGAGGGUAGCGGAAUUCACGGUGUAGCAGUGAAAUGCGUAGAUAUCGUGAGGAACACCAGAGGCGAAGGCGGCUACCUGGACAAUUGCUGACGCUCAGGCACGAAAGCGUGGGGAGCAAAAGGG
rnacentral:rRNA from 1 species